UACAGAGGGUGCAAGCGUUGUUCGGAAUUAUUGGGCGUAAAGAGCUCGUAGGCGGUUUGUCGCGUCGAAUGUGAAAACCCGGGGCUCAACCCCGGGCCUGCAUUCGAUACGGGCAGACUAGAGUUCGGUAGGGGAGUCUGGAAUUCCUGGUGUAGCGGUGAAAUGCGCAGAUAUCAGGAGGAACACCGGUGGCGAAGGCGGGACUCUGGGCCGAUACUGACGCUGAGGCGCGAAAGCUAGGGGAGCAAACGGG
rnacentral:rRNA from 1 species